rnacentral:tRNA from 2 species
GGCAAGUUAAGUCAAUGGCAGACGCUUUGUAGAAUAAAGAAUGGGAGUUCAAAUCUCCCACUUGCCA